rnacentral:lncRNA from 1 species
CCCUGACCCUGAGUUGCUUCCUGCUGUGUCAUGAUGCCCCACUGAGAAAAAGAAGGAUCUUCGGAUCUUCGAUGAUGCAUUCUGUUCUGAGAGUUGGCAGACAUACUAGUGAUAGAUCCCGUGGAUCGACAAGGCUAGAUGUGUUCGAUGAGAGUAGUGGUAUGUUACCUUAUCCCGUACUCGAUGAGUUCCCUCCGGUGACCGUCGUGAGGUGGUGACGACGGUGGGGAAGAAGAGAGAGAUCCGGUAGUGGCGGAGAUGGACUUCCCAUCGCUUCAGUGCUACCCUCUGGAUCGGAUUAGGGUUAGGAGUGGGGAAUGAGUGGCGGCGGUGAACCUUGUAACCCGUGCCAAGGUCCACACCUCCUCUAUAUAUAGCACUGCGCGACAGGGGCCCACCAGCCUUGCUUGGGCUGGACGCCCCCGAUCAGGGCGUGAGUCAAGGUCCAAUGGGCCGUUGGGCCCAUUGGGAAAGAGAUCAAUCUAACAUUAUCCCCCUUGAUCUCAUCAUAUACUUUUAACUUUACCCGUUUCGUAACAGAUCAAUACAUAGGGCAUGUUUCAUCGUCACGGCUCAAUUGCCGAUGAAAUCAGACAGCCACAAUGUACCUCUCUAUUUUGAGACAGAUUCUUUAACCUUGGGCCCUUUAUUGUCCGGAAAUAUUAGACUAUACCAUAAAACCCAUGUCGACUAUGUGUUCUCCGAACACACUGGGCGGUAAGCCUUUGAUAAGCAGAUCUGCAAACACUUGUUUGUUGCUUUUAUGCUUCAAGCAUUUUUCCAUAAUUCCGGACUUUCUCCUUCACAAUACGUAACUCUUUGUCAGUGUGUUUGGCAUCAACACUUGACUCGUUGUGACAGGAGCGAAAGAACUUAAAAUGGUAAUCGUCGUUGUCAACCAUUAUCCACUCCAGGUACAGGUAGCCUUAACCAUGUUGCCCGUCCCUCAGCCUCAUAUCAAGCUAUAAUAUAUCAUUGCAUCACAUUGAUGACAAUCGUUUUACUCAUUCGGAGAUUUUCCACACAAAACUCCGAGUAUGAAAGUUAGCGACAAUUGUGGAUUUCGCUAUACAUUUCACAAGUCCUGCCUUUGUACUCACAAUCUUUUGAGAGCACUUAUUUCUUUUAGCAUGAGGCCGAUAUCUUUGACUCCAUUCCAUUGAUUUAUCUAUGGACUGGACAUUGCCAAAACAACCCGGAUAUAUACGUGAAUUGUGUCAGGGUAACAUCUUGUGCUUCCAACAACUGAAGCAUAUGGUACCAUAUUGGUUUACAAUCUUUUCUUAUUAACUUUUGAAACACCAUAGUUUCCAGUUCCAUUACCCUUGACUAUAAGAACAGGCGUAGGUUUUCUCGUAUGCAUACUUUAGAGAUCUUUCUUAACAUGUCCAUGCGCCAUUCCUAAUACCCCCUUUUAUUCUUUUGAACUUUGAGGACAAGAACUUCUUUUCUCCUCCUGCAGUAGAUUGACAUCACCACUAGCAAGUAUGACAUCAUCCACAUGCAUAGGAAUUGGGAAACGAAUUUCUCAUUCUAUAACUUUGCAUGAAUGCAAUUGUCCUCUCAUUUUCUUUGCACAAAAUCUUUCAAUUUAAGUCAUGUUUUACACCUUCACAUAUUUCCUUUGGAAUCACAUUUGCCUUGUAGACCCUUCAUAAAGUCUAUGUUAGUGNNNNNNNNNNNNNNNNNNNNNNNNNNNNNNNNNNNNNNNNNNNNNNNNNNNNNNNNNNNNNNNNNNNNNNNNNNNNNNNNNNNNNNNNNNNNNNNNNNNNNNNNNNNNNNNNNNNNNNNNNNNNNNNNNNNNNNNNNNNNNNNNNNNNNNNNNNNNNNNNNNNNNNNNNNNNNNNNNNNNNNNNNNNNNNNNNNNNNNNNNNNNNNNNNNNNNNNNNNNNNNNNNNNNNNNNNNNNNCACUAACAUAGACUUUAUAGUAGUCACAAGUAUCUGAUUUUCACAUUCCUAGAGACCAUCAAAAUCUCAGGUACUGACACUUCUUUCAUAUGGGGCUGUCGUUGCUCUGUCAUUGCCAAGAGGCAAAUUAAUUCUUUAGUCACCCAUUUCCAAAAGGCAAUAGGUUUUACACGGACCUGUAUCACAAGAUCCCUUGUAGAGCUAACAACAGGUGUUGUAUAGGUCAUACAACAUGCUCCCCCAGAUUACUCCAUCUUCACUAAAGAAAUGGCGUAUCUUUAAACUUUCUUCUUUAUGGUACUUUAAGCACCAUUGUUGUAUUCCUUAGUCUGCUUUCGAAACUAUAAAAGAUCCAGAAAUACAACUGUUUCUUUACUUUAGGGGUAUCAUAAUGACGAUAUUCAGAUGACUGUUGUACUCCCCUUGACAAUCACAUUCUUCAUUAAUGGAUCACUUUAGAUGCAUAAUGUGCAUCACAUCAUCUAAAGUACAGAGGAGUCAUGAAAUACACUACAAUGUAUUUCAUGUCUCUAUCUCCCCCUCGAAAUGUGGCAAGAACUUUUCUGCCACAAUUUCGAAACCCAUUCAUAGUUCUUGUGAAAUGAGGAAACUUCGAUUAUCUAGCUCAUUCAUCUUAUCACUUCAUGUAAAAUGAAGUUAUAAGUUAACUAGUAUGGGAGUACUUUUUCCUCAUUUCAUUUCAGAAACUCAAUAGAGUUCUUUAUAGUUGUCACUUUUGCAAGUCACACUUGCAUAUCAUUCUUGUCUUUAGGUUCGUCUGUUACUUUUAUCCUUUCUGGAUUUAGUGAUUUCAUAAUGACCGUUACACAUAAGGUGUACGGUCGAUACUAGGAAAGCUUAAUAGCUACUCCAUACUUUUCUCCCAUAGUGGGACAUUAACCGCACAUGAGUCAUCAUAACUUUCUCCUGUCAGACAGGAUAAGGCCUUUGCCAAAAUUUCUCCCGCCAUACACGGAUUGUUGACAUAAUACAAUGUCAACUUUACCCGGUUACGCAGGCAUUCUUCCCAGACUUUUCCCGUCAUGCGGGUAAUUCCCUUUAAGGGACAUAAAUGCCAUAAUUGUCUCUUUUGACUGCAUCAAAUUCAGAAAUAAAUCUGAAUUAUCUUUGAUACACAUAUUUGAUCCGACGUUGGUCAAAUUCAACAUGCAUGUUGCUUGUUUCAUUUCAAUCAUGUUGACUGAAAAAAGGAGACUUCAUCAUAGAGAGUACAUGAAAGACAUUCAUCAACCAAGACUCUCAAUGAUCUAUCUCUUUUCUUCUCUUGAAUUAAUAUCCAAGAGUUCUUUUCUUGUGAAGCCAUUCUUUAGAGAGAAUUUAUUCCCUCAAGUUAUGACCUUUCUUUUCCAUCUUUCGGGUCACUAGUACCCAAAACAUUCGCUUUCAUGAGUGAAGGCUUGAAUAACUUUUAGUCUGAGAAAACUUAGCCAAUAAACAAUGGUAAUGAGCAUGAAAAUAACCCUACGUUGGUCUGAUUAAAAUCAUGCACAUUAAACCUUUUAAAACUUUCUGAAAUAUUCUAAAUCACCGUGGUGGCAGAAUUAGAAUAAAACAUCAUCCUUCUACAUUAAUUCAAUAUCACCGUUGGGCAGAAAUGGAAAUAAUGCAUACAACUCAUAAACAAUGUGAUGAUAGUAUUCUUAUUGAACAACUUUGCUAAGAAAUAAUCAUCAUCAUUAACCAUAUUGCAGCAGAAAUAGAAAUAUGCAUUUCUCUAUCUGUGCUCCGAAAAUUGAUCACUUUGAUACAAAAUAUAUCAAAGAUUUAAGCUUUAAACAUAAGAUGACUCAUACAAUUAUAGUACUGUUAUCAUCAAUGUUGGUCAGAAAAUAACAAUACUAUAUCUGAACUUUAAAAACAAACAUCAUUCUAUUGUCAUAGCGGAAACUUCUUGAAUCUUAUUUCACCCACGAGGGAAAAAACUUUGCUAAUAUCAGUUCUUCCAAUUAAAUUUUCCCGUUGGUUCCAAUUUAAUUGGAGGAUUAAACAUUUACUCCCUCCGUUCCUAAAUAUAAGUCUUUUUGGAGGUUCCAUUAGAAAACUACAUACGGAUGUAUAUAGACAUACUUUAGAGUGUACAUUCACUUAUUUUGUUUCGUACGUAGUCCACUAGUGAAAUCUCUUAAAGACUUAUAUUUAGGAACAGAGAGAGUACUUUGCAGCGGAAAAAACGUGAAUUUAAAAAUUCAUGUACCUUUACAGAAAAAUAUUCUGUUAAAAUUAAAAAUUCAUGAACUUUAUAAUCCCUUUUAUAAAAUCCAUGAACUUCUCUUUUUCUGAAAAUCUUUCUUUUAUUUUCAGAACCAUUUUAUUUUUCUUUUCAGAAAAAACAUGUUACUAUUACAGAAAAAUAUUCUGUCAUAAUUAAAAAUCCAUGAACUUUAUAAUCCAUUUUAUAAAAUCCAUGAACUUUUCUUUUUCUGAAUAUCUUCUUUUAUUUUCAGAAUCUUUUAUUUUUCUUUUUAGAAAAAUCAUGUUACUAUUACAGAAAAAUAUUCUGUCAUAAUAAAAAAUUCAUGAACUUUAUAAUCCCUUUUAUAAAAUUCAUGAACUUUUCUUUUUCUGAAAAUCUUCUUUUAUUUUCAGAACCAUUUAUUUUUCUUUUCAGAAAAAUCAACAUUGCUUUUACAGGAAUCUCGAACAUUUUAAUUCCUCUUUUCUAAACAUAUUCUCGUAGGAAAAAAAUGCAUAGAAAAGCUAUUUUAAAUCUGUCUAAAAAGGAUAGAAAUUGAAAUUCCUGUAAAAGUACAUAAAGGGCCACAGUCUAUCUAUCUGGGCCGGCCAGGCUGAAGCCGGCCUGCAACCUCGCUCCCCCCGGCCUGGGCUAGCCUUUCCUUCGGCCUGGGCUAGCUUUUCUGGGAGCCUCCCCUCGCAUGGGCCGGUUCUUGCCCAUGUGACCUGGGCCGGCCUUUGUUGUCAUCUGAGGUUAGGGUUUUCUCUCGGGCCGUCGGAUCUAAUCCGACGGUUGCCCGUUCAUAUCGCCUGGAACAAAAAGGUCACAGCCACCGGUUCCUCAAACCCUAACUUCAUUUUCUCCCCGACGGCGCCGUUCUGCUCGUCCUGGAGCAGCUCGAGGGCAGCUUUCCCUCUGCCUCCCGUGCGAGCCUCUGGCUCCCUCCGAGCCGAGCUGCUCCACGGCUCUUGCGGGCGUCGGCGGCAGCCAAACGCCACCGCGCCAGCCUCGCCGAGCCCCUUUCCCUCACCCGCCACGGGAUCUCGCCCCCCACGUGUUCUCUCCUUGCCGUGGUGGUUGCGAGGUGGAGGUGGCCGCCGGCCGCGGCGACCAAGGGUCCCGUGCCGCGCGUGCCAUGCCCUCCACCCUCUUCCCGUGGCGGCUCUUGCCGGGGUUUGUGGUGGCCGCCGGCAGUGGAGACCAUGAGUCCCGUGCCACGCCGCGCCGCACCUUCUUUUGCUCUGUUGGCGCCAUGACCACCCCUUUCGCCGGUGGUGCGUUUCCCUUCGUGGAAGCGCACUGCCGUCGAACGGCGUGCUUGCGGUGCCCUUAUUUCCUUUUUCCCUUAACAUAGAAGAACCUCGGCAUCAUCCACGUUCUUUCGCCGGCGCGCGCGAGCACCUUCAAGGUGAACGCGCCACCGUCAAGGGAGCGGUGUUCAUGCCCUUUGCCCGAAGGGUUGAUGCUUUGCUUUGCAUUUCCCCUUCUUUUUGCCUUUUUUUUGUUUGCCUUUUGGAUCUAAUCAGAUCCGAUCUUUGCCUCCGAGAAGGUAGGUUCUUCUUCCCCACACCUUGGCUUGCCGAUGCGUGUGGGGAUCGAGAGGAACAGGCGCGGCCUUGCGGCGGCGCUUCUUUGCCGGAUAGGAAUCCGGUUGCCUUUCCUUUUCUUUUUCUUUGAUCUUUGCCCUUCUCGGGUUCAUAUCGGGAGGGGGAAGUCUUUACUUGUACAUCUUCAUCCGAAGACACAUCAAAAAACCUCGUGGCUCAUGAUACCAUUGAUAGAUCCCGUGGAUCGACAAGGCUAGAUGUGUUCGGUGAGAGUAGUGGUAUGUUACCUUUGUUAGGAAAGCAACUUAUCUAUAUUGAAGGCCCAUGGGGCAUAUAUAUAUUACACAUGACUUGAGGUGCAAGGAAAGUAAACAUAGACUAAUAAGGACUCCUAGACUAAUACUAGUAGACUAAUAAGGACUCCUAGACUAAUACUAGUAGACUAAUAAGGACUCCUAGACUAAUACUAAUACUUCCUAACACCCCCCCUCAAAUGCAAAGCGUAUGCAAUAGCAUUGCAUUUGAAGAAGUGUAAUACUAAAAAAAAUGGUAAUCCAAAUCCGCGUCUUGAGAGUGUCGUCGUAGCAUGAAGAGUCUUCAAAACUUGUCGAGUCGCUGAAGGAGAGAACGAAGAGAUGGCACAUCAGAGGUAGACACCGCAUCACUUGAAGAUACAAGAUAAGUAUCAAGAGAAGAUGGGUUGUCAAAAGAAGAUGGCACAUCAAGAGGAAGACACCGAAGAGAUGGCACAUCAGAAGAAGACACGCAUCACUUGAAGAUACAACAUAAGUAUCAAGAGAAGAUGGGUUGUCAAAAGAAGAUGGCAUUGUGCAGAAAAUUAUAGUCGACGACAACCGACGGCAAAAGAAGCUCGGCGGUUAAGGCACGAUGGACGUAGAUCGACAAUGCAAAAGAAGUCCAGAAAAAUCCUAUAGAAAACAACAAGGGCAAAUAGGCCACAAAAGUUGCAUAGAAAGGAUCAGGACCAAAGAAAAGGCUGACGGACAAAGGUAUGGUGGACUCGCAUGGCAUGAGAAAACGCAAAAUAUCAACGAAUUUGGUGGACGCAGCGGAAAACAAAGAAAACUAGAAAACACACACUAGGUGAUGGAUAGAAAAUCUAGCAGUGGUUGUAGCGGAAGAAACAUGAAGUUUUUUUUUUCGAGAUCAAGCAGUGAACCAAGACGCAAAAAACAAAUCAGGCAGCCAGACGGCCAGGGGCGGAGCUGCAUCUGCACCUAUCCUGUUGCACCAUUGCUAGUUUAGCCUGAUGCACUUAUAUACAUGCUUGAUCCCAGUGCUAAACUACUUGUAAAAAGCUACUUGACCCUGUUGCCCAUGCAACAGGGUAGCUCCAUGCAGCUCCGCUCCUGAGACGGUGGAACUAGAUCCAUCAUCCAUGGGUUGACUAACAGCAACACGUAGUAGCAGGCAGAAGCUAGUACGUGGCGGAAAGACAGCAGCUAGCGGCAGGAGCGAACGUAGCAGCACAACAGUAGCAAGCACAGAAACGUGUGGGAACAGGGCAGCUGUCGGCCAGGAGGAUCACAUGCGGUGGCAGGAGGUAGUGGUGACCUGCGAAUGGUCCAGGCGGAAUCUGGAGGCUUCGAGCGGGGCCGGCGGGAGCAGAUCCACGAGGCACAGACGAGCGGAACCUGCAGGAGCAGCAGGAGGAGGAAGACUCGGCGGCGUGGGCACCUGCGGCAGGAUUCAAUCCUGCGAGAAGCAGACGUAGGAGGAGAUCGAGAGGUAGCAGCAGACAGACGGCGGCUGCGUGAAGAUUGGAUCGGAGCACGAGUUGCGCGUGCGAAAAAAAUAACCUAAGGCUCUAAUACCAUGUUAGGAAAGCAACUUAUCCCGUACUAAUACUAAUACUUCCUAACAACCUUAUCCCGUACUCGAUGAGUUCCCUCCGGUGACCGCCGUGAGGUGGUGACAACGGUGGGGAAGGAGAGAGAGAUCCGGUAGUGGCGGAGAUGGACUUCCCAUCGCUUUAGUGCUACCCUCUGGAUCGGAUUAGGGUUAGGAGUGGGGAACCAGUGGCGGCGGCGAACCUCGUAACCCGUGCCAUGGUCCACACCUCCUCUAUAUAUAGC